rnacentral:rRNA from 1 species
AAAUUGAAGAGUUUGAUCAUGGCUCAGAUUGAACGCUGGCGGCAGGCCUAACACAUGCAAGUCGAACGGUAGCACAGAGGAGCUUGCUCCUUGGGUGACGAGUGG